UAGUAAUUUCUCUCGCUAUAGGGUUCCGGUGGUUACUUGCCAAAACCCCCCAUUUUCUAGGUGACCUCGGAUCAGGUAG
rnacentral:rRNA from 1 species